GUGGGGAAUAUUGGACAAUGGGCGCAAGCCUGAUCCAGCCAUGCCGCGUGAGUGAUGAAGGUCUUAGGAUUGUAAAGCUCUUUCACCGGUGAAGAUAAUGACGGUAACCGGAGAAGAAGCCCCGGCUAACUUCGUGCCAGCAGCCGCGGUAAUACGAAGGGGGCUAGCGUUGUUCGGAAUUACUGGGCGUAAAGCGCACGUAGGCGGAUAUUUAAGUCAGGGGUGAAAUCCCAGAGCUCAACUCUGGAACUGCCUUUGAUACUGGGUAUCUUGAGUAUGGAAGAGGUGAGUGGAAUUCCGAGUGUAGAGGUGAAAUUCGUAGAUAUUCGGAGGAACACCAGUGGCGAAGGCGGCUCACUGAUCCAUUACUGACGCUGAGGUGCGAAAGCGUGGGGAGCAAACAGGAUUAGAUACCCUAGUAGUCC
rnacentral:rRNA from 1 species